CCGGGAUAAGCUUGGUGCUAGCUCUUUUCUUUUGUUUGUUAUUUUCUUUGAAUAAGAGGAUUGAGAGUUUUUGAAUAUUGUGAAGUGAAUUAUGGAAUGAAAAUGUGAUUGGUUUUAUUUGAGAAGAAGAAAGAUUGAAUGUUGAAAUCUGAUUGUAGUUCAGUAGAGAGAAUGAGUCUAUAUUUGUGUGAAACACCGUAAUGUGAAUGACAGUUCUAUGUGAAGAAUUCUAAUGAUUGAAAUGAGGGUAAUUGUGUGCUGAAAGCUAUGAGGCCAUAAUAUUAUAGUUGGAGAUUAUGAGGGUGAAUAUAUUGGUAGAAAUAGCAAUUAUUGGUAUGAUUGAAUUGUUAUAAGGAAGAGACCGAUAAG
rnacentral:lncRNA from 1 species